rnacentral:rRNA from 1 species
CCUACGGGUGGCUGCAGUGGGGGAUAUUGCACAAUGGGGGGAACCCUGAUGCAGCGACGCCGCGUGGGUGAAGAAGCGCCUCGGCGCGUAAAGCCCUGUCAGCAGGGAAGAAAAUGACGGUACCUGAAGAAGAAGCCCCGGCUAACUACGUGCCAGCAGCCGCGGUAAUACGUAGGGGGCAAGCGUUAUCCGGAUUUACUGGGUGUAAAGGGGGCGCAGACGGCGAUGCAAGCCAGGAGUGAAAGCCCGGGGCCCAACCCCGGGACUGCUCUUGGAACUGCGUGGCUGGAGUGCAGGAGGGGCAGGCGGAAUUCCUGGUGUAGCGGUGAAAUGCGUAGAUAUAUGGAAGAACACCAGUGGCGAAAGCGGCUCUCUGGUCUGUAACUGACGCUGAGGUUCGAAAGCGUGGGUAGCAAACAGGAUUAGAUACCCCAGUAGUC